GGAUUUAGAUUCACCCUUCUUUUGGCACCUGCGUCUUUGGGGUAACGUCCAACAGACACACACUCCCACGCACAAAAAUACCCACGUCAGCAAUCGUCAUCAGCGUUCUGUUACUGUGUCAACGUGUGAGUCACUGUGACUGGGAACACCCGCGCGGCAGAGUCACUGCAGCCCUGGGAGUCCACGUCAGUGUGUGUCUGUGUGAGAGUGCCUUGUGUGUGAGUGUGAGUGAGUCUGUAGAGGGAUUUAGGGCCCAAAGCGUUGAGCAAUCUGAUCUUCGGGGGGGCAUUCGAUGACGGAGGGGACCUUCUGUCCCUCUGCUGCUCUCAGUCGCUCACUACUUUUUGUGUGCACAACGACAGUAUACAAACAAUGUGCAGAAACACCCGGAGGCCCCGUCUGAAUGAUGGGUUGGUAGCUGCUGGCUUGUUUUGGUUGUUUCCGGUUUCGAAUUUUCAAGCUUCUGACUUAAUCUGAUCCUACAUAUUUUCUCCCGUGUCCCAUGGUUCAAAAAUAUCGUUGCUGAAGCCUUUCGUUGACUCUUUGUCAUGUUUUUCACCGACUCAAAGACACUCUCCUUACAUGGUUAGAUUUAGAUUGCUCAUGGUUGUUCUAUCAGUAACAGUUCUAUGGACUUAAUGUUGACUUGCCGCUGAUGUAAAGGGAGCAUUUAGACUACGCUUGUUGACUGUUAUUUAUCCUAAAUUAGAAGAGAUGCACUGUGCACCCACAUACUACCGUACUGUUUAGUGUGGUUCAAUACAAGGUAUGUCAAAUGCAAUCUGCAAUGAAAUGCCAGGAUGUUAUUUUCUGACACCUUUCAGAAAAGAGUCAUUCACGAGUUGAAGACCGACAGUGAUGUCCAUCUGUUCACCAUCUUUAUUUAGAAUGUGGGCAGAAUUUUGUUGCAGUUUGCUGCAUGUUUGAUUACACUGUGUUUUAAUUUGUUUGUUAGUACUUUUGUACCAAAUGCCAGCCUGCACUUUAUUCCUUAAUCCAUGAUAACCAACCAACUCAUUGGUGUUCUUCUAUUCCUUUCUAAUAAUGUUAACAAUAAUGUGCAUGCUUUUAUUAAAAGUUGCCUAUAAAGAGACUGGUCACGUGGAUGUGCCACUCACAAAACUCAUUAAAACGGGGUUUUCUGUUUCAGUGUUUGGCCACAGCAGGAAGCCGCAAGCCAACACUGUUGGGUGGACCUCACACAGAAAGCAAACAUAAAGGAACCACACCAAGGGGAGAAUGUAAACUGGCCCUUCAUUCAACAUAACGUUGUGUUUCCUCUAUCAUCCUUGGUUUUACAUUUGCGGCUUUCUCACCUGUUUCAUCUGAUGCUGUUUGGGCUGUUUUCACUCUACAUCUGGUUGAGAUCGCUCUUGCGCAAGAAACUCAUUCAAUAAGGGUCAACACAUGUAUAGAUAGAGCAUUUAUAUAAGCAGCUGCAGAAGGACUAACAAUUGUUGUGUUGUAGCGAAAAACAAACCAUAAUUGUUGUUGUUAUGCGAUAGGAUGUUGUCAGGUGACACUGGCUUGGACUUUGAUAGGGUCCUUUAAAGGCCGCAUGGGCUGAUCCGAGCGGUCGCUGAUCUGAGACGAUCUGACUCUCUGCUUGCAUCUGCCGCUCUGGUUGCCUAGCAACAGCAAGUAGUAAAAUAUAGCAAAAGCCUUGAAACGCAAAAAACAUAUAAAAGGGCAGCCAGAAUCAGAUUCAGAUCGGUUAAGUCAAUGGUUGCCAAACUUUUUCUGUCUAGGGGGCCUUGUCUUUUUUCCUCUGUCUCUGUUUUUUUCUCCCUCUCUUCCUCCCUUUCUCCCUCUCCAUCCAUCUCUUUCUCUCGCCCUCUCUCUGCCUCCUUGCUGCGCUCGUCUCCCUGUAACUUGAGCCGCUCUGGGGGGGUUGGUUCCAACACAACGCAUGUCAAGUCCUCAUGUGGGUUUCGUUUUUUUUGCUGUGUGUUGGGGUUGGUGAUGAAGCUGCGACCCCCCACCCCUCCCACCCCCCCAGCUCGGGAACCACUCGGUUAAGCACAUGUCAUUUCAGCUAAAAGUAAUAUUGCAAUCUUAAGGCAGAGAAAAUCAAUUACUACAGUCAAUAAAAAAACAUUAAUGUCAGCAAACAUUUUAUAAACUUGAAUGCAGAGAAUUGCUUUUUUCUUCUUGUAUAUGAAACAACCUAAUUUGACUGUAACCAUAAGACAUUACAAAAUAUUUCCAAGCUGCAGUAGCUUAAUCUUAUAAAUUUGGUAUUUUUUUUAAUGUAUUUUGGUACUUUGAUAUUCAUGUAUGCUGUGGGGGGCAAAGGGGGCCGCAUGACUGACAGGAGUUUGUUUGGAGAAAAACGACAUUACCAACGUCCCGUUAAGGGAUUGUUUAAACAGAAAUGUAAUGUUAUAUAUCAUAUUAUAAUAUUUCUAUCUACAGAUAUUCGAGUGAACUGCAGUACUUACAUUUAAAAGUGAACUCCCGCGUCACUGUUUUUCUUCAUAAAACAUUGAUAUUGAAAAGCAGAUUUUGUCUUAACGCUUGCAGCCUCCUUCGGUGGAUUUGUUGGUGAAUGUGUGUUUCUUUGAAAUGUUGCGGCCACCUGUAGAUUGUGGAAUGGUGAAAAAAACCUUCAGGCUGGAAUGAGCAAGGUGAAAGUGAGUCUUGUGACACCUUUUAAUUGUCUGAACCAGGUGAACAUGUCGUCUAAGCAGAUUUGUUCCAGCAGCUCUUUUAGAUUCAACUGACUCGUCGUAUCAUUUAACUGCGUGAUCGUCCUCCAUUUGAUGCGGCUGCUUACUUUGGACCUUGUGUUUGGUUUAAAUUCUAAACAAACCACUGACGUAAACUGUGGCCGUGAAAAUCAAGGCAUCAGACACAUGUGGUGGGUUUAUAGCAGCAGAGGGCUACGGUGGACAGGCGGAGGACCCUGUAGGAGGAAAUAUGAUUCCAUUAGUUUGUAAAGUGGCAACAUCCUGCCUGUCUGAUAACCAUGAAAGGAUUCAGUGGGGCUUGGUAAUUCUUCACAGAGAUGUAGAUUUUGGUUCACGACGAUGUCCUCUACACUGUGGAGAUUUAUUCUAUUUUCAAAACAAUUCCGCAGUUCCAUUUGUAACUUAAUGUUGUGCAGAGUGCAGAGUUAUAUAACAGCAUUUUUUGCCUGUUUCCGCUGUAAUAAAGAGUUUGUCACUUUGUUUAUAUUGAAGCCCAAAAGAGAAUAAUUGGUAUAAUGUGCUCUUUUUUGCUCCGGAUGAACAACACGUUCUUUUGAAAUCUUGUAAAAACGAACUUAUUUCAGAAACGUUGACACUUGACAUUUUUAGGAAGCUGUGCAAAUAUCUACAUAUUCUUCCCAAUCCCCCAACUAAAUUUAGAUCAGAUGAUUAGUCCUGAUACUGAUAAAUGUUGCCACGAAGGUCUGUUGAUGUUGUACUGUCAGUGUCUCUCACAUCAGACCCAAGCAUGACAAACAUACAUAUUUAUCAUUUGAAUGGAGCAAAUCAUAAAUAUGCAUUCAAGUCCUCGUACUAGAGAUCAGGUCAACAUCCACAUUCCUGCACUUCCAAGUACAAACAAAACCACUUCCAGUAGUUCAUAUUACCAGCUGACUCUCAGAUCAUGAAACGUCACAUGAAUCAUAGUGACAGAUGUUUAGGUUGGUUUCCACGUGCCAUUCAUUUACUCUGAGGAGGGAAAUAAUAGGACGACUGUCAAUGAUAAAUAAUGUAGUUAACAAAGUAAAUAACAAAAGACAUCAACAGUACAAAGUGCGCUGUGGAAAGGUGAGUUUGUGCAUGUUGACUGCUACCGGCUGGAAGGACCAUUCAUGUCAACUGCAGGAGAAACUCUCUAUUCUGCUAUCACCACUUGUGGCUUUGUGCUCCACUUUUCCUGACCACCAUUCUCCCUGUUUACAUCUUCACUCUACACUCAUCUGGUUUUCCAUCUUUACCACAUUUCUUCCUCCCUCUGAUUCUGUUUAUUACACUCUUUCUGUAUUUCCUCUGUUUGUUCAUUAGUUAAAGCUUUUUGAUUUAUGGUGGGUGUCACCAACAAGCAAAUCCUCACAUCUGGACCUCUGCAGGACCAUAAACAUUAAACGUGCACACAAAACACAGAGUUUACAAGUUCACAAGUGCACACUUGAAUGCACAUACGCAACAAUAAAAGCAUAAAGAUUCACUGCUUUCCUUGCAAAAAUAAUCCACACACACACAC
ensembl:lncRNA